rnacentral:rRNA from 1 species
UACGAACCGUACGAACGUUAUUCGGAAUCACUGGGCUUAAAGGGUGCGUAGGCGGCGCGGAAAGUUGGGUGUGAAAUCCCUCGGCUCAACCGAGGAACUGCGUCCAAAACUGCCGUGCUCGAGGGAGACAGAGGUGAGCGGAACUUAGGGUGGAGCGGUGAAAUGCGUUGAUAUCCUAAGGAACACCGGUGGCGAAAGCGGCUCACUGGGUCUCUUCUGACGCUGAGGCACGAAAGCUAGGGUAGCGAACGGG